rnacentral:rRNA from 1 species
CCUACGGGUUGCACCAGUGGGGAAUAUUGCACAAUGGGCGCAAGCCUGAUGCAGCCAUGCCGCGUGUGUGAAGAAGGCCUUCGGGUUGUAAAGCACUUUCAGCGGGGAGGAAGGCGUUAAGGUUAAUAACCUUAGCGAUUGACGUUACCAACAGAAGAAGCACCGGCUAACUCCGUGCCAGCAGCCGCGGUAAUACGGAGGGUGCAAGCGUUAAUCGGAAUUACUGGGCGUAAAGCGCACGCAGGCGGUUGAUUAAGUUAGAUGUGAAAUCCCCGGGCUUAACCUGGGAAUGGCAUCUAAGACUGGUCAGCUAGAGUCUUGUAGAGGGGGGUAGAAUUCCAUGUGUAGCGGUGAGAUGCGUAGAGAUGUGGAGGAAUACCGGUGGCGAAGGCAGCCCCCUGGACAAAGACUGACGCUCAGGUGCGAAAGCGUGGGGAGCAAACAGGAUUAGAUACCCCUGUAGUC